rnacentral:rRNA from 1 species
UACAGAGGUGGCAAGCGUUGUUCGGAAUUACUGGGCGUAAAGGGCGCGUAGGCGGCCUUCUAAGUCAGACGUGAAAUCCCCCGGCUUAACCUGGGAACUGCGUCUGAUACUGGGAGGCUAGAGUAUGGGAGAGGGAUGUAGAAUUCCAGGUGUAGCGGUGAAAUGCGUAGAUAUCUGGAGGAACACCGGUGGCGAAGGCGGCAUCCUGGACCAAUACUGACACUGAGGAGCGAAAGCCAGGGGAGCAAACGGG